rnacentral:rRNA from 1 species
AGUGAACGCUGGCGGUAGGCCUAACACAUGCAAGUCGAACGGCAGCACAGUAAGAGCUUGCUCUUACGGGUGGCGAGUGGCGGACGGGUGAGGAAUACAUCGGAAUCUACUUUUUCGUGGGGGAUAACGUAGGGAAACUUACGCUAAUACCGCAUACGACCUACGGUUGAAAGCAGGGGAUCUUCGGACCUUGCGCGAUUGAAUGAGCCGAUGUCGGCUUAGCUAGUUGGCGGGGUAAAGGCCCACCAAGGCGACGAUCCGUAGCUGGUCUGAGAGGAUGAUCAGCCACACUGGAACUGAGACACGGUCCAGACUCCUACGGGAGGCAGCAGUGGGGAAUAUUGGACAAUGGGCGCAAGCCUGAUCCAGCCAUACCGCGUGGGUGAAGAAGGCCUUCGGGUUGUAAAGCCCUUUUGUUGGGAAAGAAAAGCAGCAGGUUAAUACCCCGCUGUUCUGACGGUACCCAAAGAAUAAGCACCGGCUAACUUCGUG